CUCUGAGCUGUCAGCACAGAGCCCCAUGCAAGCCUGGAACUCAUGGCCCGUGACAUCAUGACCUGAGCCGAAGUCGGACACGUAACCGAACGGGCUACCGGCGCCCCACUUGACUUCCUUAAACAGCAAUAUUUUUGGUGUUUAUGCUACUGCAUUUUCUAGAUCACUUCCUAUUCUCAGAAUGGGUGUGACGAUCCUGUGGCGGAAUUGACGCCAUAAUUCUGGUUUCAAAACAAUAAGGUAACGUAGAUAGGUUUCUAUUUCUUCCCUCUGGGAACCUGUGGUGGAGGUUAAGCCUUAUCCCCGGGAAAAGUUAGAGAACAGGAGGAGGAGGAAAAGGGAAUGCUCGUGUCACUCUUUGAUUAAGUGCCUCGUGAGUGGGACAGACAGUGAGUUCUUUUAAUCUACUCCCACCCAGGGUGGACGAGCAGGGAGUGUCUUCCCUUAUUAACACAGAAAGUAAUGGGCUGAGAGUUCACUCAGGCACUUUGGAGGGGCCAGAUCAAGUAGUCCUGGUGUGGUUCCCCCGGGGUGGGGUGGGUGCAAAGGGUUUUGCCACUCUAGGCUGGCCCUAGGAGUACUUUUCUCCCAACGAAGCUCUGGCCAGGGGUGGACUCCACGUCUCCUUGCUGGUUUCCCUUAGCAGGGUUGAGAUAGGAUCCACUCGCCUGAACAUCAAGGGAAGGCGACAGGGCGGUAAGCACAGAAGGAACGAGAGUGUGAACUCAGCCCAGGGACUCUGUCCCGCCAUUGCUGGCUCCCCCUCAAGUCUCUGUCCAAAGCUCAUGCUAGAAGAGCUGGCUGCCGGCAGCCCCAAGGACUCCUCAACGGGGCUUUGAUUCUCCGCUCGGUGGGGGUGCCAUUUUGUCACUCUGUGCAGAUGCGGCAGAUCGUCUGCCUCCUGCAGUUUCCCUUGCAGGAAAUCAGGACCUUCUUCUGACUUCCUUCCGCCUCCCGGUUCUUGAUCCAGAGGGUGGAGGUUGGGGAAACGGCCUGGAAACAGCAGAGGAGGCCAGCAGCUCUGCAGGGCGAGGCCCGACAUCUCACCGCAUUAACCCCGCGAACUCAGGCCAGGCGACGAGGCUGAGCCAUUAAUGCCUAAUGAUGUCUCCUUGUCUUCCAAUAACAAACCAUCUCACCGGUCGGUUUUAUAGGGGACCAGCUGUUGUUAAUUGGGGAAGACGAGCAUGAAAUGGCCGCUUUCACACCUGACCGAGACAGAGCAACAGCAUCAAGGGGCAAAUGGAACCCGCCUGCUGCAGGCAGGGGGUUCCUCAGCUCUGCCUGGGCCAAGGAGAGGCCCAGAGACAGCAGUGGGCUGCCAUCCCUGUGGCAUCCUCAGCGGGCACAACACUUACUAAUAAAAGAGAGUGGGGCUCGUCGAACAUUCGGCCCCUCCUCCCGCAGCCCAAGAGCAUCUCCUCUUGCUUUUGCGCGCGUCUCUAGCCAGCUGGGGGGUAGCCCAAAGCCAGGGCCCCAUGUUGCACAGCCAGAGCCUCGCCCAGCAUCUGGCAUGUUCCAGCUCUGUAGAGGAGGCACGGCUGGGUUCUCGAGCACUGAUCCUGGCCUCUGCUCCCUGGCCACAGGUGACCGGGCCAGGGAUCAGGGGCACCAGCAAGACGUGGCUCCAGGGCCUGGCUCGCACACACAGAGCUGGCUCGAAUGCAUUCUCUCCUUUGCCGUCGCGUCAAAGAGACACAGACAGAGGUGGCCACUCAGCGGCGGGUCCGAAGCAAAAAGUACCGGGGGAUGUGCCGUGAUGGAGAGGGUCGGGCUACCCCUUUGGCCCAGGAGCAAGCCGGCAUGAAGAGGAAAGUGACUCCCGGGACGGGAGACUGGUGCAGGAGGAGCGUGGAGCCCCCACCACGUGCACUUUAACCUCCUAGUCGCUGCGCAUCUCCCGAGACCUGCGCUUGGAAGAUGUUAUAUCAUCCCCGUUUCGCAGAUGGGGGGACUGAAUCUCCAUGAUGUCGAGCAACCUGAUCAUCUUUAUGAAACGGCAGAGCAGGGACUGGAACCAAAUCUGGGCUCUCCUUCUGGUGCUCUUUUAAUGGCCCCGCGCGGUUGCUGUCGGCAUUUGCAGGCCCCUGCGGGUCCUUCCGCGGGCUGGCCGAGGUGGAAAGCUCUGCUCUGGGAGCUCAGGCAGGCUGCCUCGACUCCUGCAGACUGAGAAAAGCACAGGACCCUCUCUCUGCCUACAUUUGCCUUUAUUUUCAGUGUUGCUGCAAAAGAUGGGAAAUACAUUAAAACAUGUACUGUAAAUAAACCAAAUUAAAGUAAAAUUGACUCAUUUAGCAACCAGCCUCCGAUCUUGCAUUAGAGGCAAUUGAAGAGAUUUCACAGAUUUUAGUAACCAGAUAAGAUUAUUAUAUAAACAGACUUCUGCAUUGAAUGAUGAGCCAUAUCUUGAGGAGAAUAUUUGAAAUCAAUAGUAAUACAGACUGAGAAUUAAGUAAUGUGGCUAAGCACCUUUGAAUGAUGCCAUUUUUAAGAGCUGAUUAGAAAUAAAUAUGCCAAUUGCAGCAAGAGCCGAGAGCUGGAAUAAAGUGAUGAUUAAUCAGUUUGGGCCAGGACCCACGGAAGCCAUCUUGGUAUUGCCAGCCCGGGGCUCGCUGGACAGAGCCUGGAAAGCUCGGGGGCCUGAUGGUGGCCCAUCAGAGUCCUUAUGCAGAGACACGGCCCUGCCCACCAAGGGGCUGGCCAUGGCGGCGUGGGGAGGAGGUGCCCAAGCCCGGAGGAUUAACUAUAAGCUGCUUGAACUGCUCACGCAGGGCCAGCCAGAGCGCAGGGAGGAGAUUACAGCUGGGGACACUGACAACCUGGGGAUUGCGUUUGGAAUGCCCAAUUACCAUUCAACUGGGAAAUGAUUGGUCUUUUGGCUGCCCUGUAAUCAUCUCUCACCUGGACAAUUGCACCGGCUUCCCGACGGGUCCCCACGUGAGCUGGCGGAUGCGUUCCAUACCCGGUCACCAUAGUGAUUUUUCCAAAGCACUGCUCAGAUCCUGUCACUCACUUUGAAAAACGCUGCUGCCUUCCUUUUGCCGUUGGGCCAGGUCCAGGUAUCUUAGCUUAGAAUUCAAGGCCCUUCAUGGCCCAGCUGUCCCUACUUGUCUCAUUUCUUCCUAGUCCCCAUUCCUGCCUUAUGAUGGUUCCGGAUGGAAGGCUUUAGGAGUGCCAGGUAACACCCUGUUCUUUGUGGUAGCAUCUCUGCUUCUGCUGGGCCCUCCCCGCCUGCCCUGUCUGCUGAAACCCACCUUUCCCCACCUAAUUCAAAGUCCACCUUGACUGUUCCCCUCCUCCAACCCACGCAGAACCAGCUGCUGUCUCUCGGUUUUUACCCUACCUGAACAAGCCUUUUCCUGUUUCACAUCCAUGUCGUUCACUAUUUCUUUUGUAUCCAGGGAGACUUACGAGCACCUCUGCAGUGCUAUGCACUGUGGUUGUCCCUGAAGACACGGUGAGAGAACCCAGAAGUGGUCCCUGCCUUCCUGGAGCUCAGGUUCACACCAAGCGUUUAAUACUCUAUGCAGCUGUCCCUGCUCUAGUAGGCAAGACAUGCUUCUUUCAUUCAGCUGGCACAAGGCAGGUGCCCAAUGGCGGUUGAAUGAGCGAAUGAGGGACCAAACAAAGGACCGAGUGACAGAGAUGGAUCAGGGAGGGGAGGUUGCAAGGAAGCAAAUUUUUGCUUGGCAGAAGAAACAGGGUUCUGUUGGCUGCCCAGCACUGCCUAAGCUGCCUUCCGCAAGGCUGAGCUCCCAGGAACUAGAGGCAUCCAUGCAGAGGGAGACCAUCUGUCAAGGAGGUUCCAGAAAAGACUCAGAAUUGGCAGUGAGACAAAAGUUGCAGUGCUGUGGGCUCUAGGCCCAGCCCCACCACCGGCUCACUAUUUGACCCGAGGUAGAGCCCAUCCUCUCUUUGGGCCUCCGUUUCUCCAUCUGUAAAAUGAAGACUUUGGACUGCAGGUGGUCAGUCAAGAGCCCUUGGCUACCCUGAAGAAAGCGGAGGAUACUUCUUGAAUGUUGGUGAAAUCUAACCAACAUCAAUGCUGGACUAUGAAUAGUGUUAGGGUGAGGAUAUGUCCUGUGUUGGGUGCAGAGAAAAAUAUAACAGGUGUGGGAUGAUGGGGGAGAAAUUACAUACAAGGUUUUGUAACAAGAGUAUGGUGAGUGUGAGAGACCAUCCCGUGAGCCAUAAGUGUAGGCUGGGAAGGCUUCCUGGAGGAGGUACAACAUUGACCUAAAGGGUGAGUAGGACUUAAACCUUUGAGGAAAGGAGUGAAUUCUGAUCCAUGUGAGAGGAGACCUGAAUCACCAGGGCCACGUGCCAAAGACCUCCCCGUGGGUGCAUUCCCAUGCCACGCCUUCAUCCCUAACCAGGAACGUGGCCAGGGACAGGCCGUAUACAGAAGGCUGAACUUCUUGCUCAAAGGGGGCAGAUGUGGGUUUCUCUUUUCUGUGUUUUGAUCCUUGUUUCUGCCUUCAGUAGGCCUGCAUCCUCUGGCCCCACGAGGCCCUGAAUGUUGGGGUGCAGGGGGCUGAAGCUGAGAUCCCCCAGAAGGACCCGGCUCUGGUCCGCAUGGCUCUGCAGGCUGCCCAGGAUACAGGGGCCCUGAAUUAAGGAAGCUCUCUAGAAGAGGGCUGCCAUACUUGGGUUAGCCAAGAACGGGCAGAGAACCCCAUUCCCUAGGUCAUCUGCCAGGAUCUGGGCUUUUCAGGGGGAGCUUGGGGCGAGGGGGUGGGGAACGGCUGCUUUGCCUGAGCCGCUCGUCUGUGUGAGGCCAUCUGUGUGCCGGCCUGCUCCUUGCUCUUCUGCCUGGCCAUCCAUCUCCAGCGUUCACAGCUCUGUGAGCUCAGGGCUCUGCUGGGACUCUGGGUGAUGGGACCCAUGCGGGGGCAGCUGCUGAGCUGCUGGUGUGGUCAGAAGAGGAGACGAGGGGCCGUGGUGUAGGGUUCUCUGUCCCCCCCCCCCCCCCCCGGUAACUCACCUCCCCCUCCGCUUCCUUCCUUUUUGGGACAACACCCGAGGCCACCAGAAGCUCUCCUAUAGCUCACUACAAGCAUGUAAUAGAUGGGGAAGCUGGGGCUGAGAGAAGGCAGGAGGCUUGCCCAGAUCCCAGGAUGAAUUAGCCAAAGAGCAGAGACUAGAGUCUCUAGAUGCCCUGUCCUGUUUACUCCCUACAGCAGCCUGGUGUCCUGGCCGCGGUGUUCACCCAUGGGACCUUUCUCCCCCUGCACGGCGAAGGGCCCUGGGGUCAGUGCCCGUACUCUUCACGGUGCCCACAGAGUCCCACGGAAGCCAGGCCUUUCUCCCUCCUUCCUCUGCCUCUGCCCUCCCUGCCCUGCCAGCACCAUGUGCCCUGGGCCCUCCGAGGUUCUGCUGUCCGUCCUGGCCCGGCUCUCCGUGUAGCUCAUAUUCAGCACCGUAACCCCCGCAGCUCUUGACGAGUGUUGUGUUGUCACUGAGUCAUAAAUGUGGUUACACGCUUCUA